ensembl:lncRNA
CAGUCAGAGUGAUCAGAAUGAGUUUUUCCCCACAAAAGGGCUUAAUUACAGACAGAAAUACUCCUCAGUUUCAUCAGCUGUCUGGGUGGCUGGUCUCAGAUGAUCCCGCAGGCGAAGAAGCUGGUUGUGAGACCUGUUAGACAUGCCGACAUAGACAUACCAAAAUGACGUUGGAGGCGGCUUAUGGUAGAGAAAUAAAUAUUGAAUUUUUUUGCAGCAGAUUGGCACGCUCCCUCAGGGAACUACACAUUUUUAGAAUGGCCUUUUAUUGUCCCCAGCACAAGGUGCACCUGUGUAAUGAUCAUACAGUUUAAUCAGCUUCUUGAUAUGCCACACCUGUCAGGUGGAUGGAUUAUCUUGGCAGAGAAAUGUUCACUAACAGGGAUGUAAACACAUUUGUGCACAAAAUUUGAGAGAAAUAAACUUUUUGUGAAUAUGGAACAUUUCUGUUUUAUUUCAGCUCAUGAAACAUGGGACCAACACUUUACAUGGUGUAUUUAUAUUUUUGUUCAAUAUCAAACAAACAUGCCUCUCUGACAUGUAAAAUACUGAAAUCACAGCAGCUCUAUUCAUAGAAUUUUUAUCUAGAAUGUUCCAAAACCUUUUCCUACUGAACAUGGCCCUGGUUUUAAAAAUGGCAGUUAUUGGCAACACCAUGGCAACAACACAACCACAACCAACUCUGAUUGGCCAGUCAAAAGACACAACCAACUCUGAUUGGCCAGUCAAAAGACACAACCAACUCUGAUUGGCCAGUCAAAAGACACAACAAACUCUGAUUGGCCAGUCAAAAGACACAACAAACUCUGAUUGGCCAGUUAAGCCAGACAGAGGUACUGUAUGUAGUAAAAAAACAACUUUAAAAAGCAGGAAUAAUAAACAAUAAUAAAACAAUGCAAUACUGUGAGAUCAUGGCACAGAUAUAGACAGACUGACCGGCAGAUAUAUGACCAUAGAAAUAGACACAGGCAGGGUAUAGAUAAUACUGGUGUGGUACUUUAAAAAUACCGCAGCGUUGUUGGAGCAACACUACGUAGUUGUGUGUUCGUAUCCAUGGUUACCAUAGGUAGAGCCCAGCCUCGUUCCAGACACAGCGGAGAUAACGUCAGAGCAGGUCCACUGACUACAUCUCCCAGAGGGCUUUUUCCAAAAUAAAAGUCCCCGUGAUAUCUGCACCGGUUGUUCACGAGUAUUGAGUGAACCUCGUGUCAUGUAAGCUACAACAGUACUGUGUGUCUCUGCGUGAUGGUGGACAAGGUUCAGUUUCAAACUGUCACUUCUAGAGAUAUGGGUUUAACAGAUCCCAAGGUCCUGUUUCAAACUGUCACUUCUAGAGAUAUGGGUUUAACAGAUCCCAAGGUCCUGUUUCAAACUGUCACUUCUAGAGAUAUGGGUUUAACAGAUCCCAAGGUCCUGUUUCAAACUGUCACUUCUAGAGAUAUGGGUUUAACAGAUCCCAAGGUUCCGUUGUUUCCAUAUUGGUCAGUGCGUGACCUGAACUCUUAUUGUGAAACACUUUGUUCCAGAUGCAUUUCCUGGGCUCCAUGUAACAGUUCCAUGACACAGAAUAGCCCACCAGGUAACCAACCAGCCAAGUCCAUAUCUCAGAAAGGUAUAGCCACACCUUUUACUCCAUACUGUAGUUACAGCUCCAUAAUCCAUACAGGGCAGAGGACCAUAAACCAUAGCCAGUCUAUUCCCCAUGUAGGUACGAGGUGAGCCAUGUAAUCCCAUCCCAGGUAGGUCCAUCCCAGAUCAGUUUAUCCAGGUAGGUCCAUCCCAGGUAGCCAUAGACAGGUAGGUCCAUCUCGGGUAGCCAUAGACAGGUAUGUCCAUCUCGGGUAGGUCCAUCCCAGGUAGGUCCAUCCCAGGUAGGUCCAUCCCAGGUAGCCAUAGACAGGUAGGUCCAUCCCAGAUCAGUUUAUCCAGGUAGGUCCAUCCCAGGUAGCCAUAGACAGGUAGGUCCAUCCCAGAUCAGUUUAUCCAGGUAGGUCCAUCCCAGGUAGCCAUAGACAGGUAUGUCCAUCUCGGGUAGCCACAGACAGGUAGGUCCAUCCCAGAUCAGUUUAUCCAGGUAGGUCCAUCCCAGGUAGCCAUAGACAGGUAUGUCCAUCCCAGGUAGCCAUAGACAGGUAUGUCCAUCUCGGGUAGGUCCAUCCCAGGUAGGUCCAUCCCAGGUAGCCAUAGACAGGUAUGUCCAUCCCAGGUAGCCAUAGACAGGUAUGUCCAUCUCGGGUAGCCACAGACAGGUAGGUCCAUCCCAGGUAGCCAUAGACAGGUAUGUCCAUCUCGGGUAGCCAUAGACAGGUAUGUCCAUCUCGGGUAGGUCCAUCCCAGGUAUGUCCAUCCCAGGUAGCCAUAGACAGGUAUGUCCAUCCCAGGUAGCCAUAGAUAGGUAGGUCCAUCCCAGGUAGCCACAGACAGGUAGGUCCAUCCCAGGUAGCCAUAGACAGGUAUGUCCAUCUCGGGUAGGUCCAUCCCAGGUAUGUCCAUCCCAGGUAGCCAUAGACAGGUAUGUCCAUCCCAGGUAGCCAUAGACAGGUAGGUCCAUCCCAGGUAGCCACAGACAGGUAGGUCCAUCCCAGGUAGCCAUAGACAGGUAUGUCCAUCCCAGGUAGCCAUAGACAGGUAUGUCCAUACAUGCAGCCAUAGACAGGUAGGUCCAUCCCAGGUAGCCAUAGACAGGUAUGUCCAUACAUGCAGCCAUAGUCCAAGUAAAUCUUAGCCUGCAGGUAUGUCUCCGUCCUCUGUCCCAGGUUAGAUUUGUCCCAGGGCCAGGCUAAACCAGACUUAACCCCGGUACAGUCAUGGUUCUGGCACCAGUGUGGCCCCAGUUAGGCCCUGUGGUCUCAGGACUGGUUGUCCCCAGUAGGGGUUGGUGGUUCGAGUGACAGUUCUUCGUCAGACAGCCCCGUUUCCACAGCGAUCACCAGGGAUGCCACAGACGCACUGCUGGUCAUGGGCUGGAACUCACCUAGAGAGAGAGAGACAGGGGGAGGAGGAGACAAAAGAAGGAUGAGAGAGACCGAGAGAGGGAGAGAGAAAGAGGGAUGAGAGAGAGAAAGAAGAGGGGGGAGGGAGAGAAAGAAAGAGGGAGAGGUGAGGAUGCAAUUCAUUAAAGCUGCCACCAGGUGGCACUAUGAGUGCUGUUUGUGUGUGUGCGUAUGUGUGCGUGUGUGUGCGUGGUGUGACUGUGGGCUGCGUGGUGUGACUGUGCGUGUCGCUAGCCUCGCCCGCCGCCCGGCGCUAGCCUCGCCCGCCGCCCGGCGCUAGCCUCGCCCGCCGCCCGGCGCUAGCCUCGCCCGCCGCUAGUCUCGCCCGCCGCUAGUCUCGCCCGCCGCCUGUC